UGUUUUCUAGAAAGAAAAAGAGUAGAUACCCAUAUUAGGUUUUAGUUGAUGAAAAUUAUAAUUCUUAAUUUGAGAAUAGUGGGCUUCAUCUACAACGGGCAGAAUGAUAUCCUCUUGUCUUAGCAUCUCUGCUUUACAAGUUUUGAAAGUGGCAGUAUUGGUUUAAUAAAUCAUGGAAUAGAUUGUGUUGGAAGGGUUUUUAAAGAUAUUUAGUUCCAACCCCCUGCCAUGGGCAGGGAUGCCACGCACUAGAUGCCCAGGGUCCCAUCUAAACUGGUCCUGAACACCUCCAGGGAUGAGGCAUUUCUGGGCAACCUAUUCCAGUGCCUCACCACCACCUGAGUGAAGAAUUUCCCACUAACCUCUAAUCCAAAUCUCCCCUCUUUUAAUUUAAAACCAUUCCCCCUUUUUCUGUCAUUAUCUGACUGAGCAAAAUGUUUCUUGUCCAUAACACAACAUCAUGCAUCCAAAAUCCAAAAAGUGCAAAGAUUCAUAUUUAUUCUGUUCUUUCCCUUUGAGACUAGGGAUGCUCUUCAUUGAAAAAAAAAAAAAAAAAAGUCAUUUCUAGAGCUGCACAGGGAAGCUUCUACAACAGCUGCCUGCACUGUAUUUGUACUGUGGGUAAGUAUGGGAGUUUGAAUAAAUAUUGUAAUUAGGAACAUAAUAGCACAUUUUGAUUGCUUUAAUAAAUAACACCAACAUGAAUUUUUUCUUACUGGUGACACUAAUGAUCAUUAAUGACCAAUGCUGUUAUCUUUACAGUAUGAAUUCUUAGCUGAAAAGUGCAAGUUUUUGAAUACAACACAUGCCAUUAUUGAAACAGAAAAUAAAUGCCAAACUUUUGGCAUUUAUCUCAUUAGUUUAUUAUCAUAAACUAACUAUGAAAUACAAACAGGAAUAACAGGAAUGGCUCUAAACCUUUUGUUUGCUUGUGUUUUUUUCAAGCAAAAAUAAUAGGAAGCCACAUGCUUCCACACAGAUGGAUGUCUUACAACAACAUCUACUAAUUAUAUGCAGACCUGCUACCUUUGUGUUCCAGGUAUCUCAGAUAUCUAAAGCACACAGAGCAAGUACCAGGAGAGGUUUCUCACCUUCCAGAAGGUUAAUCAAUGUAGCUGAAACAAGUAUAACAGUGAAGUAUAUGUGACACAGGAAAGCAUUGUUCCCUUAGGAAGUGAAGAUGAUUGAUAUAGAUGACUGGCUUUCUGGUAACUGAGUACAUGCUCUAGUAUUAAAAACCAUAGGUUAAAAAAAAAAAAAAAAAAAAAAAAAAAAAAAGAGCUUUUAAGGAUUUAAAUGGAAUCAUAAGGAAACCCUGAAUAUAAUAAGGCUUGAGUGCCACUGUCAGUGCUUGACAAUCUGCUGCUUCUACAAGCAGCUUUGGUCUUUUGGUCUUUUUUUUUUUUUUUUUUAAACAUUGGAGAAUUAUUCCUUCAGUAAUUCCUUCAUUUUUUAUCCGUGCAAGUUAUUUUAUAAUAUCCUGUUCUAACUGCAUGCUUACAAUAGCUAAUGGUUGUGUACUGUGCACUUUUUUUUCU
rnacentral:lncRNA from 1 species